CACACGUCCCGUGCAAAAUUCGCCAUUUUCAGCUCCAAUUUCCAGGUGCUCUGUACCAUUUUUGACAUUUUUCGCCCCAAAAUGAGCCUUUUCCGCGCCGUUUCUGCUAUUUUCAGCCCCGUGCUCCGUAUUUUCAGUCCCAAAAUCGGCGUUUUUUGCCCCAUUUCCAGCACCACUUUGGACAUUUCCAAACCCGUUCCCAGUACUCCCAGUGACGCCACCAAUGUUUUCGAGGCACUUUCCCCCAUUUUUGGGUCCGCUUCCCCCAUUUUUGGGGUCAAUCCUCCCAUUUUUGGGAUCGUUUCCACCACUUCUGGGGUCGUUUCCCCCAUUUUUGGGUCUCUUUCCUCCAUUCUGAGAACAACUCCCGCCGUUUCCGCAGCAGCUUCCCCCAUUUUUGGGGCCAUUUCCUCCAUUUUUGGGGCCGUUCUCUCCAUUUUCAGACUCGUUCCUUCUCUUUUCAAAUCUCUUCUCUCCAUUUUCGGGUCCAUUCUUGCCGUUUUUGGGGCCAUUUCCCCCAUUUUCGGGACCGUUCUCUCCGCUUUUGGGGCCGUGCCCCCAAUUUUCAGCCCCGUGCCCCCAAUUCCCACCUCUCCUCUCCCCACUUUUGAGCCCCGUUCCCACAAUUUCAGCCCCACAUCCCCCAAACUCAGCCCUGCUUCCUCCAGCCUCGCCACCCCCCACCUCAGCCCCAUUUCCUCUGGUUUUAGCCCCAAUUCCCCAAAUCCCGGCCCCGCUUCCCCCAGCUUUGCCCCCACUUCCUCCAAUCUCAGCCCCAAACCCCCAAAUCCCAGCCCCGCUUCCUUCCAUCCCAGCCCCAUUUCCCCCCGUUUCCCCCCCGAUUUUCCCACCCCUGACUUCAGCCCCAUUAUUUCCCCCACUUCCACCCCCGAACUCAGCCCCAUUUCCCCCCGUUUCCCCCCCCACUUCGCCCCCGAUUCCUCUGCCCCCCGCCUCAGCCCCACACCCCCCGCUUUCAGCCCCGACCUCGGCCCCGUUCCCCCCGAUCUCGGCCCGGUUCCCCCCGAUCCCAGCCCUCGCCAGCUCGGCCUGGAAAUGCUGCAGGAAGCGGCGGGCGAAGCGUUGGGCGAAGGCGGCCUCCGCCCCCCAAGUGUGGGGCUGAGCCCCCACGAAGGCGCGGAAGCGGCGAGCGAGGAGGCGGGCGGCGGCGCGGGCCUGAGCCUCGCAGAACUCGCGCCAGGCGGGGGGCUCCGGGGGGGCGGACCCCGACCUUCCUCCUCCUCCUCCUCCUCCUCCUCCUCCAGACCCCCCCCCGGCCCCGUUCAUGGCGGGGGGGGUGCGGCCGCGGGGGGGGUCCUCACCUGGAAGGAAGGGGGAGAAAGGGUGGUUAGGGGGCAGCCGUCUUCUUGCCCCCAACAUGCGCUAAUUCGCCUCAAAUCCCAGCAUGCCCUCCU
rnacentral:lncRNA from 1 species